CGGUAUUGGGUCGAGCCCUCGGUCUUGAGUUCGAGUUCGACAUUCGGGUGAGUGUCAAUCGGUCUGUGCAUCGCCGACAACCUUCUCUUUGCCUUGCGGUUCAAUUUGGCCAUGGGCUUGAUAAUGAUAUCGAGCCGAUUCCUCGAUCGGUCUUGGAGCUCGAGGCUUGUUUUUACUAUCCUCGGAACUUGUCUCGAGCUCUCACUUCGAUCGCUUACCAUUCAAACUCGAUCAAACGUACGGAGGCCGAAAUCUAUUUCGACCGGAUACAGAUAGUCCCCUCGUUUCUCAGGAAGAAUGUGGUGAGAAGCGACAUGAUUUUCGAUGGCUCGAUCGGAUGACGUUUUCACUAGGAUCGAUCGUGACGUAUGUGAUAGUUGUCCCGUUGAUUUAGUCUUUCAAGGUAUUUAAUGCGCAUCAGACGGUGGUCGGCCACCGCUGACACUGAACCGCCACGGUAUAAACCUAUAAAUAGCCAUUCCAUUUAUCAUUUACCACUUUUACAUCUUUAAUCUCCCAAAUUUUCUUACUCUUUCUGCCUCUAUUUCGCCGCUUGUAGAGCCACCUUCAUCAGCGUGUGGCACCAUCAACCUUUCAUCUUCCCUCGCGUUUCUUUCUCUUAUAUCAAUGGCAAAAACUUCAAAAACCGUACCUCAAAAGGAGAAAGCUUCCUCUUCACGGCCGUCCGGCGACAAGGCGCCGGUGGAGCCGCCUCCCCAUGAGUAUGUUCCUGGCCUGUGUACUCUGAAGAUCGAUUUUAAGGUUGAAAAUCCUUCGUCGGUUCCGGGUCGAUGUGAGCAUGUGUCGAUGUACAUGUGCUUGAUAACAGAGGGCCAUCUCGAGGCCAUGAGGAAAGACUACAACUAGGGUCCCGAGGUUGUGUUGCAAAUUCCCUCUUCCGAAGAGAGCGUCAUCACUCAUGUGGAGGGGUUUUUAAGUGUUUAUACUUACUCCUUCACGUUGGGUCCCGUCGACCCAGUGAUCAUUGAUUUUUGCAAAAGAUAUCAGGUCACCCUCGGUCAAAUUCAUCCUUCUCUAUGGCGCAUAGUAACCUUACUUUGCUUUUUCUCCAACAAGACCGGGGGGCUGGAUUUCACCCUAAAUCACCUCAUACGAUUGUAUCUACCUCAAAUCUUUUGAGGACUAAUCAGGCUUCAUCGUCGGGCAUCGAAAGCUUUAAUGUCGAGCAUCGACGAAGACAAAGAUCGGGGUUGGAUGGGCCGUUAUAUUUGGGUGAGGACCCGUAACCUCAUUCCGGAAGAGAAGAUGUCGUUCCCCGAGGAAUGGAAUUUCGACCCUACCCCCUGGAUGCCAUAAGCGGUACCCGACCUCGAGGAUUGGGUUCGGAAGUUGGCCUCGACUUCCUCUUAUGCUGAACGCGCUUGGCGUGAUUUGGCAAAAGGUAGAUGGCAGGCCAAGAAUCACGGUGUAACCAAGGAUGUCGUUUUGAGGCCUUCGAGUGGUGAGGAAGGAACCAAGUCCCCGGUCCCGGAACCGGGGAAAGAUAAGAAGCGAAAAGCUGUCUCUCGGUCAGAGGAUACCAAGCCCAAAACUCGGAGGGUGAGGAGGAAGGAAAUCGCUCUUUCGACGGACUCGGUCCAACGACUGAGAGAAGAAGAAUAAGAAGAAUAAGAAGAUGAUGCCUCGGCUUUGGUGAUCCGAUCUGCGAAAGCUAUCGAGGUUGCCAGACCUUCUGAGCCGAUGACGGCUAUAUCGGUCGGGGUCGGUUACGAUACCCCAAGUCUCGAUCAGAGCCUUCCGAGCGAUUCGCUUGGGACUAUGAUAGUGGGUCAUUUGCCUUCUAUUCCAAACUUUUCUGAGGAGGCGUUAAAGGAAGCUCGAGAAUUGAAGACCCCCGAUAUGGGAGGAGGCUCUAGUGUAGGGGACCCUUUUCGGGAUUGCUUUGCUGGAGUCGAUGAUGCCUCCGAUAUUAGUGACGCUUCUUUUCUCCUAGAAGAGGCCCAACAUUUCAUUUCUCGGGUAAAGAUUUUAUUG